rnacentral:rRNA from 1 species
UACGUAGGGUGCAAGCGUUACUCGGAAUUACUGGGCGUAAAGCGUGCGCAGGCGGUGAUGUAAGACAGAUGUGAAAUCCCCGGGCUCAACCUGGGAACUGCAUUUGUGACUGCAUCGCUGGAGUGCGGCAGAGGGGGAUGGAAUUCCGCGUGUAGCAGUGAAAUGCGUAGAUAUGCGGAGGAACACCGAUGGCGAAGGCAAUCCCCUGGGCCUGCACUGACGCUCACGCACGAAAGCGUGGGGAGCAAACAGG